rnacentral:tRNA from 1 species
GGUCUGUUAGCUCAGUUGGUUCAGAGCACUUCCUUCACACGGAAGAGGUCAACAGUUCGAAUCUGCUACAGACCA